rnacentral:rRNA from 1 species
UAGGGAAUCUUCCACAAUGGACGAAAGUCUGAUGGAGCAACGCCGCGUGAGUGAAGAAGGGUUUUGGCUCGUAAAACUCUGUUGUUAAAGAAGAACAUAUCUGAGAGUAACUGUUCAGGUAUUGACGGUAUUUAACCAGAAAGCCACGGCUAACUACGUGUCAG